AACGAACGCUGGCGGCAGGCUUAACACAUGCAAGUCGAACGCACCCUUCGGGGUGAGUGGCAGACGGGUGAGUAACGCGUGGGAAUUUACCUCAGACUAUGGGAUAACACAGAGAAAUUUGUGCUAAUACCAUAUGUGUCCAUUAAGGGGGACCUUAAUGGGGAAAGAUUUAUCGGUUUGAGAUAAGCCCGCGUUGGAUUAGCUAGUUGGUAGGGUAAGAGCCUACCAAGGCGACGAUCCAUAGCUGGUCUGAGAGGAUGAUCAGCCACACUGGGACUGAGACACGGCCCAGACUCCUACGGGAGGCAGCAGUGGGGAAUAUUGGACAAUGGGCGCAAGCCUGAUCCAGCCAUGCCGCGUGAGUGNUNAAGGCCUUAGGGUUGUAAAGCUCUUCACCGGAGAAGAUAAUGACGG
rnacentral:rRNA from 2 species